GACGAACGCUGGCGGCGCGCCUAACACAUGCAAGUCGAACGAGAGAGAGGAAGCUUGCUUCCUUAAUCGAGUGGCGAACGGGUGAGUAGCGCGUGAGGAACCUGCCUCAAAGAGGGGGACAACAGUUGGAAACGACUGCUAAUACCGCAUAAGCCCACAGCUCGGCAUCGAGCAGAGGGAAAGGAGUGAUCCGCUUUGAGAUGGCCUCGCGUCCGAUUAGCUGGUUGGUGAGGUAACAGCCCACCAAGCCGACGAUCGGUAGCCGGACUGAGAGGUUGAUCGGCCACAUUGGGACUGAGACACGGCUCAG
rnacentral:rRNA from 1 species